rnacentral:rRNA from 1 species
GACAGAGGAGCCAAGCGUUGUCCGGAUUGACUGGGCGUAAAGCGCACGCAGGCGGCCGUGCACGUGGGGUGUGAAAGCGCUCGGCUUAACUGAGCGAUGCCACCUCAUACGGCAGGGCUCGAGCCCGUGAGAGGUCCACGGAAUUGCCGGCGUAGUGGUGAAAUGCGUAGAGAUCGGCAGGAACACCCAGGGGGAAACCAGUGGACUGGCACGGUGCUGACGCUCAGGUGCGAAAGCGUGGGGAGCGAACCGG